CACCUUCUGUUUCCUCAUCUCUUAGAUCUGAAUAUUGGUCGAAGUGGCUAAAAAACGAGGGAAAGUUAAACGGAAAUGGGCUUGGAGUCUUUAGUGACCUACAAGUUCAUUUCAAACAUAA
rnacentral:snoRNA from 1 species